ACAAACGAAGUGAAUGCUUUUUGGAAACCGUAUAUCGAUAAAGUAUAUUAUACAGAUUACGCCGCCUCUAUUUAGCAUGAUCAUUUCACUUUUCGAUCGUCGCCAUUUUGUAAGCGCCCUGCCUAAGAGUGUGUCAUGGACUUCAGCUGGAUUAAAUGUGUAUUACCCGGGAGGAACUGUAAAGAACCAACCAGACAGCCCGCCCGCCGAGCUACCCACCCGGCCGAGCUGUACUUUGUGUAUGCCAACAUGCCGACAUGCUGUAAUUUGUUAGUACUUCAAAAUCAUAUAAUGGAAAAUUGUAUCCAAACUGAAGUAUAAUUUGACGAGCCUGGUUGCUGUAGCCACAGGGGAAUUUUCCAGGACAAGAACCAGUGCUGGUAAAAAUGUGGUCUCAUGUGGUUUUCCAUACGGCAUUCAGCAAGGAUUUCAGAGAAAGGAAUACUGUCUCCAAAUCAUGAUGUGCCAAUAAGCUCUAGUUAGCUGUGCCUUUUUCCUCCCACCGGUAGUCCUUCAAUCUGAAUCCAGGAGAUACAGCUCUGAAUCCAAUAUUUCAGGAGAAUGAAUAUGUAAGUCAA